rnacentral:rRNA from 1 species
AUUGAACGCUGGCGGCAUGCCUUACACAUGCAAGUCGAACGGCAGCACGGGAGCUUGCUCCUGGUGGCGAGUGGCGAACGGGUGAGUAAUGCAUCGGAACGUGCCCUGAAGUGGGGAGUAACGUAGCGAAAGUUACGCUAAUACCGCAUAUUCUGUGAGCAGGAAAGCAGGGAGUCUUCGGACCUUGCGCUUUUGGAGCGGCCGAUGUCGGAUUAGCUAGUUGGUGGGGUAAAGGCCCACCAAGGCGACGAUCCGUAGCGGGUCUGAGAGGAUGAUCCGCCACACUGGAACUGAGACACGGUCCAGACUCCUACGGGAGGCAGCAGUGGGGAAUUUUGGACAAUGGGCGCAAGCCUGAUCCAGCCAUGCCGCGUGAGUGAAGAAGGCCUUCGGUUGUAAAGCUCUUCGGUGGGGAAGGAAAGUUAGCUUGGGUUAAUA